rnacentral:rRNA from 1 species
UACGUAGGGUGCAAGCGUUGUCCGGAAUUAUUGGGCGUAAAGAGCUCGUAGGCGGUUUGUCGCGUCUGCUGUGAAAACUCGGGGCUUAACCCCGGGCCUGCAGUGGGUACGGGCAGGCUAGAGUGCGGUAGGGGGGACUGGAAUUCCUGGUGUAGCGGUGAAAUGCGCAGAUAUCAGGAGGAACACCGGUGGCGAAGGCGGGUCUCUGGGCCAUUACUGACACUGAGAAGCGAAAGCAUGGGGAGCGAACAGG